UCCACACACCCAGACGUGUGAUGCUGGAAUCCAUACACGAGCCCGGGUAUUGCAUCGAUGCUUGCAGGCUCCGAGAAGAAAGGACGUGUUUGCCUCCGGGAAGAGGUAUGAGGUGUGAAUAGCACAGUGCUUUCUCCCCUUCAUGCUGGUCAUACUCUGCUACCUCCUGAUCUUGAUGCAGGACUCUUAUGAUUCCCAUACAACCAUCUCAUAUCAAAGCCAAGUGGAUAAUACCCCAUAUACAUCAUCAUCACAGGGAAACAUUCAGGCUAGAAUCCAACAACGCAAACACCAGCCAGAAAGCUGCUGUUUUCUUCUUAACACUUGUUAUCAGUGAGCUGUGUAUGCUUGGGGAGCAAAGCACGGUGACAGUGCCUUGUCACACUGGCAAGACAGGAUCGUGUUCAGGACUGCGUAAGGUGAAGAGCACAAGGCUCCGGUUUGCAUCUGCCUGUGCUCCAGGAAGCUGGGAGUUUGUUGAAGAUGGAUCUGCACAUGGGCAUCUCUGCAAAUUGCCUGGGAAACGAUCUACUAUGGGGAAACGCAGCAACUUCUGAGAAGAAUGGAAGUU
rnacentral:lncRNA from 1 species